rnacentral:lncRNA from 1 species
UUAGUAAAAUGAUCAAAACUUGUGUCAACAAAGUAUAUUUUGUCCCCAGUAGGUAGACAAAAGAAAAAGCCAUACUUGCCCCCAGAUUAUGCUAGUAAUAGUGAGUUUUUUAAAAUAUAUUCAUUGUGUUUGUUAAGAUUAGUCAGGUUCUCCUCUAAUAGCUGUAUUUCCAUCCAGUGACUGUAGCUGAUUUGAAGCAAAUAUUAUGAAUGGACUCCCUUGCACCUGCAGUUGUGAAAAGGGAAUGCUUAUCUGAAAUCAGAACAAGGCAUCCUUUUCCCAGUCUCUGUCAAUAUACAAAGGUUUCUGAUGUAUACUGGUUUGCACUACAGUUAAAAACAUGCAAAAAAUUUAAAUUAUAGCCAGGACAAGUCAGAAAAUUAGAGAUCAGCGUAAACUGUUGUACUUUUGUGAUAUAGCUACAAGUCUCAAAUUAUAUGUCUUCACAGUACAAAUUAGAUGCUUAAAGCAGAAUAGAAAUUUAGGUAUCAGUUACAAAGGAAAUCUUGUUCCCCUGCUUGGUAGUUUACACCAAGGAAAUGUUGAGGGCAAUAAAGCUAAACAACAACAACCAAAGAAACCAGCUGCACGACUCUGGGUUUAAUUUUCGAAGUAGAACGUACAAGUCCCAAAUAUAAUGAAUAUAGUGAGCAAGGGGGAUGUUAUUAGUAAAAUCUGAACAUUAUUCUGAUCUAGAAAAAAAAUUAUUGGAGUUUGUUUUUCAGCUUUUGUUGGUGGGAAUUACCGACAAUCAGAGAAACAAUAACACCAUAAAAUGGUUAAUGAGUAACUAGAAAACACUAAAGAAUACCUAAUGGUUAAUAUUUGAAGAGUUAAUGUAGGAACACUGCUUUUUCUACAUUUGUUAGUUUUGGAAGGCUAAAAAUCAUUUUAACCUAAAUUUUCAUAUAACAAUAUGAGUGAAAAAUUUCAGAAAUUACCAUUUCUUUUUAAAAAGUGGUAGCUAUUACAAUUAAAUUUCAUCUUCUGUGUAUAAUCAACUAUUAUUUUACAUAAAAAUCAACUGGAUUACCA